AUUGAACGCUGGCGGCAGGCCUAACACAUGCAAGUCGAACGGUAACAGGAAGAAGCUUGCUUCUUUGCUGACGAGUGGCGGACGGGUGAGUAAUGUCUGGGAAACUGCCUGAUGGAGGGGGAUAACUACUGGAAACGGUAGCUAAUACCGCAUAACGUCGCAAGACCAAAGAGGGGGACCUUCGGGCCUCUUGCCAUCGGAUGUGCCCAGAUGGGAUUAGCUAGUAGGUGGGGUAACGGCUCACCUAGGCGACGAUCCCUAGCUGGUCUGCGAGGAUGACCAGCCACACUGGAACUGAGACACGGUCCAGACUCCUACGGGAGGCAGCAGUGGGGAAUAUUGCACAAUGGGCGCAAGCCUGAUGCAGCCAUGCCGCGUGUAUGAAGAAGGCCUUCGGGUUGUAAAGUACUUUCAGCGGGGAGGAAGGGAGUAAAGUUAAUACCUUUGCUCAUUGACGUUACCCGCAGAAGAAGCACCGGCUAACUCCGUG
rnacentral:rRNA from 1 species